rnacentral:rRNA from 1 species
CAAUUGCGGCGUGCCUAUACAUGCAGUCGAGCGGACAGAUGGGAGCUUGCUCCCUGAUGUUAGCGGCGGACGGGUGAGUAACACGUGGGUAACCUGCCUGUAAGACUGGGAUAACUCCGGGAAACCGGGGCUAAUACCGGAUGGUUGUUUGAACCGCAUGGUUCAGACAUAAAAGGUGGCUUCGGCUACCACUUACAGAUGGACCCGCGGCGCAUUAGCUAGUUGGUGAGGUAACGGCUCACCAAGGCGACGAUGCGUAGCCGACCUGAGAGGGUGAUCGGCCACACUGGGACUGAGACACGGCCCAGACUCCUACGGGAGGCAGCAGUAGGGAAUCUUCCGCAAUGGACGAAAGUCUGACGGAGCAACGCCGCGUGAGUGAUGAAGGUUUUCGGAUCGUAAAGCUCUGUUGUUAGGGAAGAACAAGUGCCGUUCAAAUAGGGCGGCACCUUGACGGUACCUAACCAGAAAGCCACGGCUAACUACGUGCCAGCAGCCGCGGUAAUACGUAGGUGGCAAGCGUUGUCCGGAAUUAUUGGGCGUAAAGGGCUCGCAGGCGGUUUCUUAAGUCUGAUGUGAAAGCCCCCGGCUCAACCGGGGAGGGUCAUUGGAAACUGGGGAACUUGAGUGCAGAAGAGGAGAGUGGAAUUCCACGUGUAGCGGUGAAAUGCGUAGAGAUGUGGAGGAACACCAGUGGCGAAGGCGACUCUCUGGUCUGUAACUGACGCUGAGGAGCGAAAGCGUGGGGAGCGAACAGGAUUAGAUACCCUGGUAGUCCACGCCGUAAACGAUGAGUGCUAAGUGUUAGGGGGUUUCCGCCCCUUAGUGCUGCAGCUAACGCAUUAAGCACUCCGCCUGGGGGAGUACGGUCGCAAGACUGAAACUCAAAGGAAUUGACGGGGGCCCGCACAAGCGGUGGAGCAUGUGGUUUAAUUCGAAGCAACGCGAAGAACCUUACCAGGUCUUGACAUCCUCUGACAAUCCUAGAGAUAGGACGUCCCCUUCGGGGGCAGAGUGACAGGUGGUGCAUGGUUGUCGUC